CCUACGGGGGGCUGCAGUGGGGAAUAUUGGACAAUGGGGGGGAACCCUGAUCCAGCCAUGCCGCGUGUGUGAAGAAGGCCCUCGGGUUGUAAAGCACUUUCAGUGAGGAAGAACGCCUGGUGGUUAAUACCCAUCAGGAAAGACAUCACUCACAGAAGAAGCACCGGCUAACUCCGUGCCAGCAGCCGCGGUAAUACGGAGGGUGCGAGCGUUAAUCGGAAUUACUGGGCGUAAAGCGCGCGUAGGUGGCUUGAUAAGCCGGUUGUGAAAGCCCCGGGCUCAACCUGGGAACGGCAUCCGGAACUGUCAAGCUAGAGUGCAGGAGAGGAAGGUAGAAUUCCCGGUGUAGCGGUGAAAUGCGUAGAGAUCGGGAGGAAUACCAGUGGCGAAGGCGGCCUUCUGGACUGACACUGACACUGAGGUGCGAAAGCGUGGGUAGCAAACAGGAUUAGAUACCCUUGUAGUC
rnacentral:rRNA from 1 species